rnacentral:lncRNA from 1 species
GAGUAUUAGCAUCAUACAGAUUUUACCGUCGACUUUCAUAUCCACACAAUGGAAUAAAUACCAGAGAAAGGCAUAGCAAUGUCGAACAUAACUCAAACAGACCAACGAUACUUUCGUCUAUUAGCAUGUUUAGUUAAUAUUCUCAUACGAUAAGAAUUCCUUCUGAAAUUAAAUAGUUGCAUAUACUUCUAAGGUUAAAUGUACACAUAGAAUGCCCAGAAAAAAUCAUAGUAAUUGCCAGACUAUAACCACUGCACCCAGCCAUCAAUACAAU